UACGGGGGGGGCAAGCGUUGUUCGGAAUUACUGGGCGUAAAGGGUUCGUAGGUGGCCGACUAAGUCAAACGUGAAAUCCCUCAGCUUAACUGGGGAACUGCGUCUGAGACUGGUGGGCUUGAGUGCAGGAGAGGAACGCGGAAUUCCAGGUGUAGCGGUGAAAUGCGUAGAUAUCUGGAGGAACACCGGUGGCGAAGGCGGCGUUCUGGACUGCUACUGACACUGAGGAACGAAAGCCAGGGGAGCAAACGGG
rnacentral:rRNA from 1 species